UCAAGUUUGAUAUGUACAGUGUACUGUAUAAGGGCUCAAAUUUGAAACCCAUAGUCUUUGAAGCCCCUGGGUGUAAUCGUUUGCUAUGUUUAUAAAGCAGAUUUCAUCAUUGUUUACAGCAGGAAAAGGGUUAACAAUAGCCUUUAAAGGAAGCCAGUUGAGGAACAGUUCGACUAAACACAAAUUAACACAGCCCUGGGAAUCUCUCAAGCACUAAUCUGUUGCCAAGGACAUAUGAUAGGUAUCUUCUAUGAAACACUGGUGGUGACAGGGAGUUGCACAUGCCCCUGCUUGCUGUCGAGGAGAUGUGCUCCGCUCUGCCUGGGAGAGAACCUGUCUCGGAGAAGAGAUGCUGCACAGCAAUGAAGUUGCAAGUUGAAGAUUCUAGAAGACUGAAAAUAUGAAUACCAAGGAUUUGCCACAUGCAUACUUGAAAACGGGAAUGCAGUCAAACAAGAGACUACACUU